GCCUUCUUAGUUCAGUGGUUAGAAUUUUUCACUAGUAUUCGCUGGUCUCUUCCAAAGACCACUGCUACGAUGAAAGGGUCACCCGUUCAAUUCGGGUAGAAGGCA